UGUGUAAUAAUAAAUGUGUUGAAGUUUAAUAAUUGAGGUCUGUUCGGUCUGCAUGGCUGCACUAACAGCUGCUGCAGCAGGAGGCAGAAAGAAGAGAGGAGCAGUUAUCACUUCCUGCCAACAGCAUCAGCACAAACGUGUCGGCCUGACACUGACCUCUAGUGGUCGUUUGACCUGAUGCAAAGCAGGAAGUAGCGUGACGUUAGCGAGCGGCAACCUCCGGGGCUGAGAAAUGAAGCCAACAGGAAGUGCCAAAACUGCAGUUCCUCGGACGGCCACUCGAGGCUCCAAAAGGAAGUCGGCCCCCACGGAGCCCCGAGUUAAAACGCCCGACUUCACAGCAGAAAUAAACGUUUACAGCCUGGAACAAAAAAACGGUCUUUGUCUCUAAAGCUAAUUUCCCCGUCCAGGCCAGCUGUGAGGGGGCUGAUUAUUAUAUAACUCACCAGUUUAAAUUAUAUUAAGGCUAAAAGUUCUGCAUAAUUAAGGACGUGGCUGCUUUGAGUGACAGGUGGCCGCCCUCCCCAGUGGCCAGCCGCCAGGUGGUUUCUUCAACCAGGCUUCAUUCGGCCGCCUCAGCUCUUUGCCCAUUUUUGGAUUUGCCGGAGUCGGCCACUGCCAAGAUGGCGACGGCCGGAGUGGAGUGGAGGUCGAACUGAGGACAAAUGUACUGAUUGUGCAGCAUUUUGGACCUCCGUUGGAUAAUUAUGUCCUUCCGUGUCGACAGGCUGCUGCUGCAGAGUGGCUUCAUCUGUGUUAAUGAUCAUAAACUACAGCAUGUUAACAAGGCACUGAGUGAGAGCACUGAACAAACAUCACGGCAUCUCAAGGGACCGAGAUGCAGUUUGGGAAGCCACAGAGGAAUGACGUCAUCCUGCUGAUCAGAAAACACGUCUACGAGUGGUUUUUAAAAGAUCGGUCAUCAGGUGUUAACUGGAACAUCUGGAAGCUGUCAACAUCUGUGACUGAUCCCACUGACCGACAGCAGAGGCUUCUGUCACCUGACCUGCAGGAUUCGUCGGUUUCUGCACAGACGCUGUGUUUGUGUUCGUCCUGUACGUUGUGUUAACUCACACAACAAGUUUCAAUCUUCCUGCACGACCAGAACCUGAACCAGAACCAGAACCAGAACCUGUUCUGCUGGACGCGAACAGCAGUCCGUAAACUGAGCAGCUCGACGGAGCCGAAGAGUCUAAAAAUGUCAAAGUUAUAAAUCUGAUCUUUUGAACAGACUUGAAAAACAUUUCUAUGAAGUUGGAUAUUUUUAAAUAUUUAAUUCACUGAAGUGUAUUUAAUAUUUAUUGUAGUUAUUUUGUCGAUAUGACAACAGAUGUUUAAAAUCUGUUUUCUGUGAGGAAGUGUGAGUUCUAUUUACUCAUUUAUUAAAUUCUUCACUUUUCUUGGACUGAACACAGAGUUUAAACGAGUCCCUCGGGCGUCACCUGAGGGACUGUAACUGGAUUCAGGUCCCAGAUGAGCUCUGAGAGCUACAGCGCCCCUUAAAGGGUUAAUCCACCCAAAACAUCAAACCCGUUUGGACUCGCUGACUCGGGACGCUGCUUCUGCUCACAGCACUGAGCGGCUCUGUACGUCUGUGUAAGACUCAGAAAUGUAAAUCCACUGAUCGCCACAGUGAAACCAGCUGGUACUCAGCUGUUAGUGUGUUGACCUGAAUAUUACUGACACACACACACACACACACACACACACACACACACAGUCAUAACUGCGGAUAGUUUCAAUGAGGUGAAACUAUUUGAGACAUUCCUGAGAGCUGAUAAAGACUGAAGAGGAGGACAGAGGCAGUAACACCACCGAGUAAAAAUCCUGCAUUCGCAGUCCGGCUUUAAAGCUCCAGCAGAAGCAGCACAAGAGGAUUUCAGAGGCCUCUGUGGUGGGGGAAGUAUUCUGAUCCUUUACUUGUAGCAAUACCACAGCGUAGAAAUACUCCUCGUUCAUUUAAAAGUAUGUAAAUAUUAUCUGCGGUGGACGUAAAGCUCCGGCGUGUCACGUUCAGGAGCAGCUGUCGGCAGGAAUAUAACAUUCAUAAGUGUGUUUUCAUCAGUGUUUAAUCUCCUGAACAUAAGAACCGUUGUGUUUUCGUUACCUUAGCAUCAGCCUUUAUAUCUGCAGAGGGAGCGGGUCCCCUUCCACGGAGGCCGCCAUGUUGCGCCGCCAUGUUUCUACAGGAGCCCAGAACGGACAAACCAGACAGCGGCUCUAGAGCCGUUCGCUUCACCGUAGUUCCUCCUGCACGCUGGGAAGGGGAGGGCGAGGCGAGCGGCGUUCACGUGGCUGCAAACUGCAGUUUCACCACUAGAGGCCGCUAAAGCCUCCACGCCGGCCCUUUAAGUAUCAGCACCAAAAUAUACUUAAAGCACCAAA